rnacentral:rRNA from 1 species
AUUGAACGCUGGCGGCAGGCCUAACACAUGCAAGUCGAGCGGAUGAAGGGAGCUUGCUCCUGGAUUCAGCGGCGGACGGGUGAGUAAUGCCUAGGAAUCUGCCUGGUAGUGGGGGAUAACGUCCGGAAACGGGCGCUAAUACCGCAUACGUCCUGAGGGAGAAAGUGGGGGAUCUUCGGACCUCACGCUAUCAGAUGAGCCUAGGUCGGAUUAGCUAGUUGGUGGGGUAAAGGCCUACCAAGGCGACGAUCCGUAACUGGUCUGGGAGGAUGAUCAGUCACACUGGAACUGAGACACGGUCCAGACUCCUACGGGAGGCAGCAGUGGGGAAUAUUGGACAAUGGGCGAAAGCCUGAUCCAGCCAUGCCGCGAGUGUGAAGAAGGUCUUCGGAUUGUAAAGCACUUUAAGUUGGGAGGAAGGGCAGUAAGUUAAUACCUUGCUGUUUUGACGUUACCAACAGAAUAAGCACCGGCUAACUUCGUG